rnacentral:rRNA from 1 species
CUGGCUCAGGAUGAACGCUAGCGGCAGGCUUAACACAUGCAAGUCGAGGGGCAUCGGGAGUAGCAAUACUUGCCGGCGACCGGCGCAAGGGUGCGUAACGCGUGAGCAACAUGCCCGUAUCAGGGGGAUAAUCCAUGGAAACGUGGUCUAAUACCCCAUAGUAAUUAUGUAAGGCAUCUUAUAUAAUUUAAAGCUUUGGUGGAUACGGAUUGGCUCGCGUGACAUUAGCUAGAUGGUAAGGUAACGGCUUACCAUGGCUACGAUGUCUAGGGGUUCUGAGAGGAAGGCCCCCCACACUGGAACUGAGACACGGUCCAGACUCCUACGGGAGGCAGCAGUGAGGAAUAUUGGACAAUGGAUGGAAAUCUGAUCCAGCCAUGCCGCGUGCAGGAAGAACCGGCCCUAUGGGUUGUAAACUGCUUUUGUAUGGGAGCAAUAAGGGCUACGCGUAGUCCGAUGAGAGUACCAUACGAAUAAGCACCGGCUAACUCCGUGCCAGCAGCAGC